AGCUACAGGCUUAACACAUGCAAGUCGAGGGGCAGCAUGGUCUUAGCUUGCUAAGACUGAUGGCGACCGGCGCACGGGUGAGUAACACGUAUCCAACCUGCCGUCUACUCUUGGACAGCCUUCUGAAAGGAAGAUUAAUACAAGAUGGCAUCAUGAGUCCGCAUGUUCACAUGAUUAAAGGUAUUCCGGUAGACGAUGGGGAUGCGUUCCAUUAGAUAGUAGGCGGGGUAACGGCCCACCUAGUCUUCGAUGGAUAGGGGUUCUGAGAGGAAGGUCCCCCACAUUGGAACUGAGACACGGUCCAAACUCCUACGGGAGGCAGCAGUGAGGAAUAUUGGUCAAUGGGCGAGAGCCUGAACCAGCCAAGUAGCGUGAAGGAUGACUGCCCUAUGGGUUGUAAACUUCUUUUAUAAAGGAAUAAAGUCGGGUAUGUAUACCCGUUUGCAUGUACUUUAUGAAUAAGGAUCGGCUAACUCCGUGCCAGCAGCCGCGGUAAUACGGAGGAUCCGAGCGUUAUCCGGAUUUAUUGGGUUUAAAGGGAGCGUAGAUGGAUGUUUAAGUCAGUUGUGAAAGUUUGCGGCUCAACCGUAAAAUUGCAGUUGAUACUGGAUAUCUUGAGUGCAGUUGAGGCAGGCGGAAUUCGUGGUGUAGCGGUGAAAUGCUUAGAUAUCACGAAGAACUCCGAUUGCGAAGGCAGCCUGCUAAGCUGCAACUGACAUUGAGGCUCGAAAGUGUGGGUAUCAAACAGG
rnacentral:rRNA from 1 species